AACGAACGCUGGCGACAUGCCUAACACAUGCAAGUCGAACGAGACCUUCGGGUCUAGUGGCGCACGGGUGCGUAACGCGUGGGAACCUGCCCUUAGGUUCGGAAUAACUCCCCGAAAGGGGUGCUAAUACCGGAUAAUGUCUUCGGACUAAAGAUUUAUCGCCUUUGGAUGGGCCCGCGUUGGAUUAGCUAGUUGGUAGGGUAAAAGCCUACCAAGGCGACGAUCCAUAGCUGGUCUGAGAGGAUGAUCAGCCACACUGGGACUGAGACACGGCCCAGACUCCUACGGGAGGCAGCAGUGGGGAAUAUUGGACAAUGGGCGAAAGCCUGAUCCAGCAAUGCCGCGUGAGUGAUGAAGGCCUUAGGGUUGUAAAGCUCUUUUACCCGGGAUGAUAAUGACAGUACCGGGAGAAUAAGCUCCGGCUAACUCCGUG
rnacentral:rRNA from 1 species